GACGAACGCUGGCGGCGUGCCUAAUACAUGCAAGUAGAACGCACAGUUUAUACCGUAGCUUGCUACACCAUAGACUGUGAGUUGCGAACGGGUGAGUAACGCGUAGGUAACCUGCCUGGUAGCGGGGGAUAACUAUUGGAAACGAUAGCUAAUACCGCAUAAUAUUAAUUAUUGCAUGAUAAUUAAUUGAAAGGUGCAAUUGCACCACUACCAGAUGGACCUGCGUUGUAUUAGCUAGUAGGUGAGGUAACGGCUCACCUAGGCGACGAUACAUAGCCGACCUGAGAGGGUGAUCGGCCACCCUGGGACUGAGACACGGCCCAGACGCCUACGGGAGGCAGCAGUAGGGAAUCUUCGGCAAUGGACGAAAGUCUGACCGAGCAACGCCGCGUGAGUGAAGAAGGUUUUCGGAUCGUAAAGCUCUGUUGUAAGAGAAGAACGGGUGUGAGAGUGGAAAGUUCACACUGUGACGGUAUCUUACCAGAAAGGGACGGCUAACUACGUG
rnacentral:rRNA from 1 species